rnacentral:misc_RNA from 1 species
GAUGAAGAACGCAGCGAAAUGCGAUAAGUAAUGUGAAUUGCAGAAUUCAGUGAAUCAUCGAAUCUUUGAACUCACCUUGCACCCAUUGGUAUUCUGAAGGGUAUGCUCGUUUGAGUGUCAUUGUACUCUCACACUCCCGAUCUUGAGUUGGGAGCGGUGGACUUGGGUUGCUGCUUUACUGUAGCUCACCUCAAAUGUGUUAGUGCAACUCUUGGUUGGACAUAGUACGGCGUGAUAAGUGUCUUCGCCGGCGCCUCAUUAUAGAGGGUGGCCGAUCGGGAGCUCUGUGCUUCAAACUGUCUUCGGACAACAUCUGACAACUUGACCUCAAAUCGAGUAGGACUACCCGCUGAACUUAAGCAUAUCAAUAAGCGGAGGA